CUUAAAAGGGAAAUAAACUAUUUAGAUAAUUAAAAUUUUAGUACUGUUUUUUAAAUAUAUUUUAAAUUCAAGGUGUUUACAAAUUACAAUAUUUUUUUAAGUACAUGAGAUAAAUAGUCAUAGAAUCAAAUGUAUAUUAUAGUCAUAGAAUCAAGUGUAUAUUCUCAUAUCCUCAUGUAGGAAUGUGUGAAAUACGUAUUUCUUGGGUUGAAAGAAACAUGAUUUCUAAACAUUUCAAGCACAUUUGAGAAUCAAUAAUCCCAGCCAAAAAUUAAAUGCUACCUCCAUAGCUUCUAUGGCUAAACAUGAAACCGUAUGAUUGUUAGCUAAGAUAUUUAAACGUUGGAAGCCAGUUCAUAUCAGUACAUCACGACGAAGCAGGAGCAUCUCUUUCUCUUCUAUUUUGCUUCUAUUCUGCCUUCCUUUUUCUUUUCUCCGGGGAAUGGGUCCUCGAUUAAGACACCACAAUUCCAAUGGUCCCAAAAGUCUCAAGCCUCUUAAAACAGCAAAUUAUUAGGAUAUCUUCUUUGCUGGUGGGCAGUGAUCGUGGCCCACCCUCUCCAGUGUGGACACCUAACCUCCACGCAACAACAUAUUUAAGAUUGGACAAGCUUCAAUUGUGUGGACGCCUCAUUUUUCAACCCAGGAAUCUACCAAUCCCACGGUCCUAUCGGUGUUGUAUAAUAGUUUUACAAAGAAUUUGACUCAUCCUAUUCCCAGUGCUUGAUUUGAGGCUCUUCUUCGGAGCAUUUCCAAUUUCGUUGAUUUCUAGGAUUUCGAGUGCCAUAGCGGGUUAGGUAAACUACAUUCAGCUGCGACACCAAGGUGUAAUAACAAAAUUGAAACGGACGGUUCAUUUGUUGAACUUCCGGGGACCUGGCAAAAAUAUUGUCCAGUAACUCAAAACACUUUCUGGAUCUCAUACAAUGGCAGAAGAACAGUCCCCUGAAUCAAUCCCCCCGAGCAUGACAGGCCACUUGCCUAAUUUGGCAUCCAUGUGUGAUCGUGAUCUCCUGGAGCUGGUAUGGGAAAACGGCCAAAUUCUCGUUCGACGUUUGUCGACCAAGAUAACUAAAAGGAGUACUAAUUUCCCAUGCUCAGAUUAUUUUCGUGAUCAAUCUUCUAAGGCUCGAAUUCAACGUGAAGGAGAAACCUCUACUGCAAAUAGAUCAAAGGAUGGGGUUGCAGAUUCUACGUUCGGAGAUCGCUUAUCAGGUCUCUCAGGUCUGACUAAACUGGACUGUCAUGAUAAGAAUAAGACAAAUAAUUCUCUGCAAAUUGGUUACCCGGAACUAUUGUCAGAAUUGUGCGAAGAUGGUUUCAAUGUUGUUUUGGGAUCCAACAAAAAAAGCUACGAUAAGCAACUUAUAGAUUCUAAUAUCGUUCCUGUAAGCCAAUUCAAAAAUUUUAAACAAAGCUACCUAUCCAAGCUCGCUGAGGAGAUUCCACAGCAAACUAUGCAAAGCAAUCGCGAGGUACCUCAGUCUUCCUUGAAGCAAUAUGAAGCUUCUAUUAAAUUUAUGAGAUCAAAUGAGAAAAAGUCAAGGAUUGAUGAGAAAAGUGAUAGGGUGAACUUUUCCAUCUUCUUAAGACCUCCAAUUCUUCUUAAAUCUACCCAUUCAAGCUGUGGUGCAACAAGACCAACGAGCAGUCCAAGUUUAGCAGGAGUUGAUGAGAAUUUAGAAGGCAACGCCGGAGCUACCCCAACUAGCAAUCCCUUUGAAAAAGAAGGAAAUGUUAUGGCUAGAAACAUGAAGCCAAUAUCACCAGAUGCUGAGCCUCAAAAAGAGUCACUUCCUGAUGAGCAAUCCGAAGCCGUUGGCUAUAAAGAUACCCCUUCAAAUACAAGAUUUCCUAUUAAGGAUCAUGGUCCAUCCUCAAGCUUAGCGCCAAAUACAACCAUUAAGGGAAAUCCUGGUAAUAGAAAACCUGUUGACCUAAUGGUUGCAUCAUCUUCGGUUUGUUCGCGUGGGGCUUCAAACUGUCCAACGUACACUUUGAAAAGGAGAUAUGAAGACACUGAUCUCAGUGAAAAUAAUGCAAUGGAAGAACCCGAGGGCAUUAUCAAAGCUGCACCAGCACAGGGAAGAAAAGGUGCUAAGACUAAGAGAAAAGCAGAAGUUCACAGUAUAUCUGAAAGGAGGCGAAGAGAUAAAAUCAACAAGAAGAUGCGUGAAUUGCAAGAGCUCAUACCCAACUGUAAUAAGGUGGACAAAGCUUCAAUGCUUGAUGAGGCAAUUGAGUAUUUAAAGACCCUCCAGUUCCAAGCUCAGCUGAUGUCAAUGGGAACUAGGGUUUAUACGCCUUCAAUGAUGUUACCUUCGGCAAUGCAACAUAUAAAUGCACAACAUUUGGGUGGCUUUUCUCCCAUGGCUGUUGGGAUGGGUAUGGGAAUGCAAAUGGGCCUCGGCUGCGGCCCAGCACAGUUCCCAACUUCACUAAUAUCUAGAGCUGGAGCUGGAGCUCUGCCUGGGAUCGCAGAAGCUAGACUCAAUAUGCUUGGUUUACCUGGUCAGGUGUUAUUAAUGUCCAUGCCACGUUCACCUUUUGUAUCUUUGGCUGGAACAUUUUCCCCACAGUCGUUCCAAAUUCCUGGGGUAUCUCAAGCUGAUGCUGUGCAAGUGAAAAUUCCAGUUGCUACUGUUCCCCAAUCUACAUCAAAGGUUUCAGAUCCAGCACAUUAACUCAAAAAAUUACAGCAGAGCGAAUCAAUUCUCGAAAGUUCCAAAGACCCCAGAUCUCCUAUCAUCAGCUUCGCAGGAGCCAAAUUUCUAUAAUUUUUAUGAACUAGUGGACGAGAUGGGACACCCUUAAAACGUAAAAAUCCUCUCGUUUCUUCAUGUAUUGGCUUGUUUCUGCCUUUGAUUCAAUUAUGGACAACUGCGACUGGAUCCAAUGUUUGAAAAUGGAGUAUUACAGUCAUGGAAUGAGGCGUAUAUAGGAGGACCCCUUUAUCAGCAAAGAUUAGCAGGCCUGAUCAAGUUAGAUAUACUUCUGAAAAGCCAAGGUGAUGAGUGACCCCUUUUCCGGAGGAAACACAGUAAAUUCCAGUAGUGGUUUGCAUCAGGUUGCUGCUUUUCAUAUCAUUACAUUACCACGGGAAUAUACUAACUUCAUUUUGCAGCAGUUUAGACUUUUUCCUUCCAACAUGAGAGUUUUUUGAGCUGAAUACUAAUAAACAUAGUGAUGAUUCACUUGGAAUUUGUAGUCAGACGAACAGUUUGUGUAUAUAGCCUGCUUUCAUACAACAAAAUAAAUAAAUGAAUACAUAAAAGGGAAAAAAAGUUAUAAUGUUGGUAAACAUUUAAAUCUAGCAAAACAAGAUUUCAUUAAAUUUCUAAUUGGAA